rfam:Microgenomates group bacterium RIFCSPLOWO2_01_FTLL_47_10 rifcsplowo2_01_scaffold_9117, whole genome shotgun sequence.
AGGGCUAUGAUGCAACGGUAGCAUGAAGGUCUCCAAAACCUUUCAUCUAGGUUCAAAUCCUAGUAGCCCUG